UUUUCAACUCAAGGCAUCUGAGUUCCUCCUCAUCAAGUCAAGGGAAGUCGCAAAACCAGACGGAAUUCAAGGGAAGGAAACCGACUCCGCCUCUGAUGGCUGCAACAGUAUGCACAUUCAGGGAGGAAAGGAAUUAGCAGUGGUCAUCUUUCUGGACCAUCUACCACAGUGGCUAAAGUUAACACCUAGAAAGGAAGGUCGUGUUUUCAGCUUCUUUGACUGCUGCUCCAGGUGUCAAACCCUGAAGGGUGAGCUGACGCUAAAGACUGAGUGGUUAUUUUUUCCAGAAGAGGAGAAAGAUUGAAAAUGUGGCCGGCCGAUUCUCCCUGAUGAUCACACAGACAGACCUGCAUGACAGUCAAACAGACAGGCCUGCAUAGCACCCCAGUUACACAGACGAAUUUCCCCAGAGCUGCCUUAACAUUGAGCAAAUAGUUAAACCUAGGGAAAUUGGUGCCCAGACAGCAAAGCUAGAAAUGAAACAUAUGGUCAGUAGGAGCCUUGCGUGGGCUUCUCCCUAACCUGGAGCAAACCAAAAUAAUAGAGACAGUCUUUCAUUCCUAGUGCCAGGACCCGUCUCGGGUCAACGAAAUCUGAGACAGUCAAGGUAACAGAGGCAGCUGUUCGAAUAGAUUCAUUGGAGAGUCUAAGGCAGCCCUCCAGACCAAGCUGUAAAGCAGAUAAGAUAGAAAUAAUCACUCUGGUACCACAGUAGACAGGCCUUGUAGGUACUGGGCCGCUCACAGCUUAAUCCGACUUAGAAAGCAUUUUUGCCUCUGACCUUCUAGUUGAAACAAAAUUAGUUACCAGUAGACUUAGGCAAAUGCUACACUGCACACAGGCGCAUAACCC
rnacentral:lncRNA from 1 species